rnacentral:misc_RNA from 1 species
AUUCACAAGAAUCUCUACAAUUAGUUUUCAUAUUGUUGUUUAUUGUAGUGAUAAAUUUUCGUUAGUUAUUGCUCUAAACCUAAUCGAAAGUGUUGUCAAAAGCGCUAGACACCCUUAAGGUGAGAAGAUGCUCCAUCGCCCAAGGCGCUUGCCUAGGUGCUAGGCAUUCCUGUAUGUUUUCAUAUUGGAUCCUUUUUAUUAUUUGUGUAUGAUGAUACUAUAGAUUUUUCAG